rnacentral:rRNA from 1 species
AACGAACGCUGGCGGCAUGCCUAACACAUGCAAGUCGAACGAAAACUUCGGGUCUAGUGGCGCACGGGUGCGUAACGCGAGGGAACCUGCCCUUAGGUUCGGAAUAACCCCACGAAAGGGGUGCUAAUACCGGAAAAUGUCUUCGGACCAAAGAUUUAUCGCCUUUGGAUGGGCCCGCGUUAGAUUAGCUAGUUGGUAGGGUAAAAGCCUACCAAGGCGACGAUCCAUAGCUGGUUUGAGAGGAUGAGCAGCCACACUGGGACUGAGACACGGCCCAGACUCCUACGGGAGGCAGCAGUGAGGAAUAUUGGACAAGGGGCGAAAUCCUGAUCCAGCAAUGCCGCUUGAGUGAUGAAGUCCUUAGAGUUGUAAAGCUCUUUUACCCGGGAUGAUAAUGACAGUACCGGGAGAAUAAGCGCCGGCUAACUCCGUG